rnacentral:piRNA from 1 species
UAAGCGAACUGUCAAGUCAAGGUACGUC